rnacentral:sRNA from 1 species
AGCCGGCAGAUUUUUGGUGUCAUCUUGGAACAGUGCGUCACCAUAGUUCUGGAUUUUGGCGGCAUUCUGGAGGGGGAGCUUGAUCUGUGCCGAGAGGCUCUAACAAUGGUUCUCCAGGAGCAGGUGGCUCACAUAACCAAGUUCAAUAUCAUACGGGUUUCUCAAGAGCCUGUGAAGUGGCAGGAAAAUGCUACUCCUGUGACCAAACAGUCCAUAGCUACUGCCGUCAGUUGGGUUGAGAAACUGAUGGUUGAGCUGACUGUGAGCGAGGCUGGCCGCCUGGAUGCUCUGCUGGAAGCCGGGAGAGACAAGACUUUACUCUUCUUCACAGAUGGAUCUGUCGUCUGUCACACACUUUCCAAGGUGAAGUACAUGCAAGCUGAUGACUCCAUCCAUUUUUGGAUGUCAACGUAUUGACAUGAAUUUUGAUAGGGACCUUUUGGAAAUAAAGCUUUACCUGGAAGAAGUGA